rnacentral:rRNA from 1 species
GACGAACGCUGGCGGCGUGCUUAACACAUGCAAGUCGAACGGAAAGGCCCUGCUUUUGUGGGGUGCUCGAGUGGCGAACGGGUGAGUAACACGUGAGUAACCUGCCCUUGACUUUGGGAUAACUUCAGGAAACUGGGGCUAAUACCGGAUAGGAGCUCCUGCUGCAUGGUGGGGGUUGGAAAGUUUCGGCGGUUGGGGAUGGACUCGCGGCUUAUCAGCUUGUUGGUGGGGUAGUGGCUUACCAAGGCUUUGACGGGUAGCCGGCCUGAGAGGGUGACCGGGCACAUUGGGACUGAGAUACGGCCCAGUCUCCUACGGGAGGCAGCAGUGGGGAAUAUUGCACAAUGGGCGGAAGCCUGAUGCAGCAACGCCGCGUGCGGGAUGACGGCCUUCGGGUUGUAAACCGCUUUCGCCUGUGACGAAGCGUGAGUGACGGUAAUGGGUAAAGAAGCACCGGCUAACUACGUG